GAGGUCUACUCAGCAACUCAGGUGGUCAUGUGGAAUUCAGAGCUUACCAACAUAACCAACCAAAUUUUUUUUUACGUUCAACUAUCCAUUGGGUAGAACCCAAGUCAGGGAAUGUUUUCUCCAGUGCUCUGUCAAGGACCUUCUUUUUUGGCCUUCUAACGCAACAGCGCGACCAAAAACAAUUAUCUCCAGAAGACUAUUGGCCCCGAGUCGAUUCGCUCCGUGAACUGAAGUACAAGCAGCCUCUCCAACUGCCCAGAGACCUUGUACAAGUGAUUUAACAUUACCUGGCCACGCCAGUUGGUUGGAAUUCCGCCCAUAUUAUAAUGCGCGGUAGGGACAACUGGUAUCGGUUCUUCUUCACAAUUUACACCGGCAAACACCCAAGCCAGGUGUGAAAUCCCGGAAGAUGAAACAAGAAAAAAAAAAUUAAAAAAUUAAAUACCUCCCCUCGAGAAUUUCAAUCAUAAUCGCUCUUGAAACAAUGUCUCGAGAAGCCAAAUCUUUGGCUUUGGGUGCGUAUUUAUCCAU